GAUGAACGCUGGCAGAAUGCUUAACACAUGCAAGUCAACCUGUGGCGUACGGGUGAGUAACGCGUACAGAACUUGCCUCACAGAUAGGGACACCGUUUGGAAACGAAUGCUACUACAUGAUAUUGUGAGUGGGUUUUGCGUCCCAUUAGCUAGUUGGAGAGGUAACGGCUCGCGAAGGCGAUGAUGGGUAGCCGGCCUGGCAGGGUGAUCGGCCACAAGGGGCCACGGACACGGGCCUUACGCCACCGGGCGGAAGGAGUGGGGACUAUAGGAAGAUGGACCAAAGUCUGAUCCAGCAAUUCUGUGUGCACGAUGAUGUUUUCGGAAUGAAAGGUGCUUUCAGUUGGGAAUCGUUACCAGCAGAAGAAGUGACGGCUAACUACGUGCCAGCAGCCGCGGUAAUAC
rnacentral:rRNA from 1 species